GGAGAGGUGGCCGAGAUGGUUUAAGGCGCACGCCUGGAGAGCGUGUGUGCUCGAAAGGGCACCGGAGGUUCGAAUCCUCUCCUCUCCGCCA
rnacentral:tRNA from 1 species